AGACAACCAAAGUGCUCUUUGAUCCUUCCCCACAUCCCAGUCAUCUGGGAGCACCCAGGGAGUCACAUGGGAAGGGCUGGGAUCAGAUCUGAGGGUCUAGCAGGGUGUGUCCCAGGGCAGAGCCCUUGCCAGGGGUGAGCAGUGUCCGGGGAGGGAAGGGCCCCAGGGACAGAGCACAGCUGGGCCCUGAGAAGCCUGGGAGGCUGAGGUGGGCAACAUGGAGCUGGCUGGCUUCUGAGCAGCCCAGUACCUACCAGGCCCACCCACCCUCAGCCACUGCCAGGAAAACCUGCUCAGGCCCCACUCAGAGCCACUGUGGAAGUGGGAGCUCCACCAAACCUGAGCCCCCAAAGGUGUUUCUCCAGGAUCCCCUGCCAGCCCCACCUCCCACAGCCUGAGCACAGACCCCGGGAUGCCCCACAGGACCACCUGCUCCCACACAGCCCCGUCACAUUCCCCACAGCCCUGUCGCACUCCCCACAGCCCUGUCACACUCCCCACAGCCCUGUUGCACUCCCCACAGACGUGUCAAAACUCCCCACAGCUCUGUCACACUCGCCACAGACCUGUUGCACUCCCCACAGCUCUGUCACACUCGCCACAGACCUGUCGCACUUCCCACAGCCCUGUCACACUCCCCACAGCCCUGUCACACUCCCCACAGCCCUGUCGCACUCCCCACAUCCCGUGGCAUCUGGCUGUACAUGGAAGUGAGGAAGC
rnacentral:lncRNA from 1 species